AAAUAUAACACUUUUGGUAUUUAACAGCAAUUUAAUAAUUUUGCUGAUUUUGCAAAAAAGAAAUAUAUAAAUAAUGAUUGUUGGACAAUUUAAAAUUCUAAUCACAUUCUUACAAAGAAAAUUCUUAGAUUCAUUAUAAAAUGACUCACAAAAAAAAAACAAACAUAAAUAAGAAAAAAAAUCUGAUUUAACGUUGUGCAAGAUCCUAAAAAUCUAUUGGCACUGCUGACUAAACAUUAAUAACAAAAAUGUGUUAAUUACUAAGCUAAUGUUAAUACCGCCAUCGGAUAAAUAUACAUACAUAUAUGUAUAUAGGUAUUUAUUUUAUCAACUUAACCACUUACCAGAUAAGACGGCUCCACGUUGCUUGCGGGAACAGCAGUAGCCACAGCAGCUCAUUAUGAUGAAGGCCAAAAAGAAAAACAUAAAAAUACCCCACAGAUCCAUGGCGUCGUCAAUAUCGUCAAUGUCGUCUGAAAAACCCACUAUAAACUUGAAUAAUAUUAUAAUAAUAUAAUAAAUUGUAACAAACUAAAAGAACGUAAAAAUAAUUACACACUUGUUCCUACCCGUUUAAGUAACUUGCUUGUAUUUAUUUCACAAUUUAUAAAAAUAUUAAACAAAUUUUAUACC